rnacentral:rRNA from 1 species
UACGUAGGUGGCAAGCGUUGUCCGGAAUUAUUGGGCGUAAAGCGCGCGCAGGCGGCCUCCUAAGUCCGAUGUGAAAGCCCACGGCUCAACCGUGGAGGGUCAUUGGAAACUGGGGGGACUUGAGUGCAGGAGAGAAGAGUGGAAUUCCACGUGUAGCGGUGAAAUGCGUAGAGAUGUGGAGGAACACCAGUGGCGAAGGCGACUCUUUGGCCUGUAACUGACGCUGAGGCGCGAAAGCGUGGGGAGCAAACAGG